UGCAUUGGAUUGAGGACCAUGUACAAAUGUUAUCGAUAAACAAUUGGAGGGCAAGUCUGGUGCCAGCCGCCGGGUAAUUCCCGCUCCAAUAGCGUAUAUUAACGUUGUUGCCGUUAAAAAGCUCGGAGUUGAAAUGGGGGAAGGAGGAUAUUAUGGAUUUCUAAUUCAAUUUUAUAUUGAUUCCCCUCUCCCAUUUAUUAUUAUGGGUAUUAAUUUAUUUGUAAUAAGAAUUGGUCAUUUACUGGGAGAAAAUUAGAGUGUUCAAAGCAGGCCUUUGCUUGAAUAGAUUAGCAUGGAAUAAUACUAAAAGGCUUUUAUGGUCCAUUUAAUUGGUUUGUUCCUAAAAGCCAGAUUAAAAGGAACAGUUGGGGGUAUUCAUAUUCCAUAGUUAGAGGUGAAAUUCUCGGAUUUAUGGAAGAAGAACCAGUGCCCAAAGCAAAUUUAUUGUGCUUCCCCCCACAU
rnacentral:rRNA from 1 species